UACAGAGGGUGCGAGCGUUAAUCGGAAUUACUGGGCGUAAAGCGUGUGUAGGUGGUUAGAUAAGUUAGAUGUGAAAUCCCUGGGCUCAACCUGGGAACUGCGUUUAAGACUGUUUAGCUAGAGUACUGUAGAGGAUAGUGGAAUUUCCAGUGUAGCGGUGAAAUGCAUAGAUAUUGUCAAGAACACCGAUAGCGAAGGCAGCUUACUAGAGAGUAACUGACGCUGAGGCACGAAAGCGUGGGGAUCAAACAGG
rnacentral:rRNA from 1 species